UGCCAUUAUUCAAAACGGAGGAAAAGAAACCAACAGGGAUUGCCCUAGUAACGGCGAGUGAACAGGCAAGAGCUCAGAUUUGAAAGGCACUUUUGUGCCGUUGUAUUCUGAAGUUAGGGUCCUGAGAAACGAUGCUUAAGUCUUCUGGAAAGGAGCGCCAUGGAGGGUGAUAGCCCCGUCUAGCAUUGACCUCAUAUAGGAUCUUAACAUGGAGUCGAGUUGUUUGGGAAUGCAGCUCAAAUGGGUGGUAUGCUCCAUCUAAAGCUAAAUAUCUGCGAGAGACCGAUAGUAAACAAGUACUGUGAGGGAAAGAUGAAAAGAACUUUGAAAAGAGAGUGAAAAAGUACGUGAAAUUGUUGAAAUGGAAGGGUAGGCCGCUAACCAUGUAGAGCCGUGUUUGGGGGGAAGAUAAAUGCUGUAGAAUGUAGCUCCUCGGAGUAUUAUAGAUGCAGUUCAUAUUCCCACCCGAGCGCGAGGAUCUCAGGUUCUACUAAAUGGUGGUCUACCACCCGUCUUGAACCACGGAACCCACAC
rnacentral:rRNA from 1 species